CACGUAGGGUGCGAGCGUUUGUCCGGAAUUAUUGGGCGUAAAGAGCUCGUAGGCGGUCUGUCGCGUCGGAUGUGAAAACCCAGGGCUCAACCCUGGGCCUGCAGUGGGUACGGGCAGACUAGAGUGCGGUAGGGGAGACUGGAAUUCCUGGUGUAGCGGUGAAAUGCGCAGAUAUCAGGAGGAACACCGGUGGCGAAGGCGGGUCUCUGGGCCGUAACUGACGCUGAGGAGCGAAAGCGUGGGGAGCGAACAGG
rnacentral:rRNA from 1 species